UUAUAUAUCUGUGGAGAAAUUAUUUUUGUUUUGACUAAAUCAUUUGAAGAAAAAAAAGAUUUUUCUCUCACUUGCAAUAUUCAUAAAUCGAUAUAUAUAUAGGAAAAAGAAGAUGUUCUGGACUGCGUCAUGCCAACUCUAUCAACAAAGAGAAAAUUAGAAGGAUCCUUCAGUGGUGACAAAUCCAAAAAACAGAAAGAAGAAAGAGCAAGAACAGAGUGUGAAAUUUUACCAAUGCCGACCAGAAAUGAAGCAGAUGUUGCACUCUCAGAGAGGUUAAAGGCAGUAGAAAAUAAGGUAGUUGACUUUUCAGUUAUUUGAUUAAAUACCACUUAACAUU